ensembl:lncRNA
AACUGGUCCUGUUGACCUAAACCUGGUACCAGAACUGGUCCUGUUGACCUAAACCUGGUACCAGAACUGGUCCUGUUGACCUAAACCUGGUACCAGGUCUGGCCCUGUUGACCUAAACCUGGUACCAGGUCUGGCCCUGUUGACCUAAACCUGGUACCAGAACUGGUCCUGUUGUCAUAAACCUGGUACCAGAACUGGUCCUGUUGUCAUAAACCUGGUACCAGAACUGGUCCUGUUGACCUAAACCUGGUACCAGAACUGGCCCUGUUGUUAUAAACCUGGUACCAGGUCUGGUCCUGUUGACCUAAACCUGGUACCAGGUCUGGCCCUGUUGACCUAAACCUGGUACCAGGUCUGGCCCUGUUGACCUAAACCUGGUACCAGGUCUGGCCCUGUUGACCUAAACCUGGUACCAG